GACAGAGGUGCCGAGCGUUAGGCGGAAUCACUGGGCUUAAAGCGUGUGUAGGCGGGUCGUUAAGUGUCUUGUGAAAUCCCACCGCUCACCGGUGGAACGGCUGGGCAUACUGGCGACCUUGAGAGGCCUAGGGGCAGACGGAACAAGCGGUGGAGCGGUGAAAUGCGUAGAUAUCGCUUGGAACGCCGACGGCGAAAGCAGUCUGCUAGGGGCCUUCUGACGCUGAGACACGAAAGCCAGGGGAGCGAACGGG
rnacentral:rRNA from 1 species